rnacentral:rRNA from 1 species
CCUACGGGUGGCAGCAGUGAGGAAUAUUGGUCAAUGGGCGCGAGCCUGAACCAGCCAAGUCGCGUGAAGGAUGAAUGAUCUAUGGGUUGUAAACCUCUUUUAUAAAGGAAUAAAGUGCGGGACGCGUCCCUCUUCGCAUGUACUUUAUGAAUAAGGAUCGGCUAACUCCGUGCCAGCAGCCGCGGUAAUACGGAGGAUCCGAGCGUUAUCCGGAUUUAUUGGGUUUAAAGGGUGCGUAGAUGGGUUGUUAAGUCAGCGGUGAAAGUCUGCGGCUCAACCGUAGAAUUGCAGUUGAUACUGGCGGCCUGGAGUACAGUUGAGGUAGGCGGAAUGCGUGGUGUAGCGGUGAAAUGCUUAGAUAUCACGAAGAACGCCGAUUGCGAAGGCAGCCUGCUAAGCUGCCACUGACGUUGAUGCACGAAAGUGUGGGGAUCGAACAGGAUUAGAUACCCGGGUAGUC